rnacentral:rRNA from 1 species
UACGAAGGGGGCUAGCGUUGCUCGGAAUCACUGGGCGUAAAGCGCACGUAGGCGGCUUUUUAAGUCAGGGGUGAAAUCCUGGAGCUCAACUCCAGAACUGCCUUUGAUACUGAGAAGCUUGAGUCCGGGAGAGGUGAGUGGAACUGCGAGUGUAGAGGCGAAAUUCGUAGAUAUUCGCAAGAACACCAGUGGCGAAGGCGGCUCACUGGCCCGAUACUGACGCUGAGGCACGAAAGCGUGGGGAGCAAACAGG